AGGUCACAAGGAUGUCGUUGAAUUGCUUCUCGAAAAUAAAGCCAAUGUUAAUAUUAGAAAAGGUGAAGCUCUUCGUUUAGCUGUUGUAAAUGGUUACAAGGAUGUCGUUGAAUUGCUCAAUAAAUAUAAUGCCAAUGUUAAUUUGCAAGAUGUUUAUGGUCGAACACCUAUUUAUUAUGCUAUUCAAAAAGGCCGCACGGAUAUCACCAAACUUCUCAUGGAAAAUGGAGCCGUUCAUCAUUAAAUCAAAUGAAAAUUGCACAAUGCACACUCCAAUGAAUCAACGCAGUGAAGAGACAUCAC